rnacentral:rRNA from 1 species
AUUCCAGCUCCAAUAGCGUAUAUUAAAGUUGUUGCAGUUAAAACGCUCGUAGUCGGAUUUCGGGGCGGGCCGACCGGUCUGCCGAUGGGUAUGCACUGGCCGGCGCGUCCUUCCACCCGGAGACCGCGCCUACUCUUAACUGAGCGGGCGCGGGAGACGGGUCUUUUACUUUGAAAAAAUCAGAGUGUUUCAAGCAGGCAGUCGCUCUUGCAUGGAUUAGCAUGGGAUAAUGAAAUAGGACUACGGUCUCUUUGUUGGUUUGAGGGACUGCAGUAAUGAUUAAUAGGGAUAGUUGGGGGCAUUAGUAUUUAAUUGUCAGAGGUGGAAUUCUCGGAUUUGUUAAAGAUUAACUUAUGCGAAAGCAUUUGCCAAGGAUGUUUUCAUUA